AUUGAACGCUGGCGGCAGGCUUAACACAUGCAAGUCGAGCGGAGAUGAGGUGCUUGCACCUUAUCUUAGCGGCGGACGGGUGAGUAAUGCUUAGGAAUCUGCCUAUUAGCGGGGGACAACAUUCCGAAAGGAAUGCUAACACCGCAUACGUCCUACGGGAGAAAGCAGGGGAUCUUCGGACCUUGCGCUAAUAGAUGAGCCUAAGUCGGAUUAGCUAGUUGGUGGGGUAAAGGCCUACCAAGGCGAUGAUCUGUAGCGGGUCUGAGAGGAUGAUCCGCCACACUGGGACUGAGACACGGCCCAGACUCCUACGGGAGGCAGCAGUGGGGAAUAUUGGACAAUGGGGGGAACCCUGAUCCAGCCUUGCCGCGUGUGUGAAGAAGGCCUUAUGGUUGUAAAGCACUUUAAGCGAGGAGGAGGCUACUGAGACUAAUACUCUUGGAUAGUGGACGUUACUCGCGGAAUAAGCACCGGCUAACUCUGUGCCAGCCGCCGCCGUAACAC
rnacentral:rRNA from 1 species